GUAAACAUCAACAGUAAAGAUUACAAAGUAAACGUCGAAGCAAAAAGAAUGGCGAGAGCCUAACCGCUUUAUAGUUAUCAAUGGUUACAAAUCCAUUUUGUGGCUCCAAAAGCUUGAAUUGGGUCCUGAGUGACAGAUUACCUUCAAUGCUGCACGCUUGAAAGGAGUUGCACGGAGAUAUGCCUUAACUGACUUGUAUAUGAAGUUAUCCAAAGGCACGGCAAGAUCUUCAUCUCGUAACCACGGGUGUGCUGUGAAUCAAAGAAGGCGUUUCACAAAAUCUUUAGCUUCUGGAGAGAUGGUUGGCCAAGGGGAAUCAUCGAAGUUAGGAUCGGCUCUUAGCACAGAGCGGAAGAUUCCUGAUUCAGUUCUUGCCCAGAAAGGUCUGCUCCCACACAACAGUAUAUAUGCUAUGACACCAAUACUCCACAUGUCUGCUUCAAAACUGUAGGAUCUGUAGAGUACUUCAGGAGCAACAUAGUAUGCACUGCCGACGACAUCGUUCAGACGUUCAUCUGUAGAAGAACUAUAGGCGUUGUGAAAACAGUCUCACCCCUAAUGAGAUGGCAAAGUGAAAAUCAAGUAGGAAUUGAAAGCAGCAACUGCUCAAGGACAGGCCAGAAGCUUGGAUGGUAACAUGAAUCUCUCUCCACCAUUCUUUCAUAAUAUAUGCAAAUGUUUAAUGAAUUGAACAAAGGCAAGAACAUAUUAUCAAGGGCAACAAGUAUUUACCUGGCUUGACGAAGUCAGAGAGACCAAAAUCAAUGAGUUUGAGCCCUGUGUUCUCAUCUUUCUUCAUAAAAAGGAAAUUCUGGUACAGUGAAUUUGGAUAAAGCUAGUUACAACAAGUAAUAGGGAACUUUAUUCAGAGCCAAAGAAUGAAUUGAAGCUACAAAAAGAUGUGUACCUCUGGCUUCAAGUCACGGUGCACUAUCCCUUGUAGAUGACAAAAUGCAACAACACAGAGUAUCUGCACAAUGAUCGUUUUCGAUUCUUGUUCUUGAUAUCUUCCUCCUCUGCAGGUAUAUGUUAUGAACUUGUAACCGAGUCGAUCGACGUUUUUCUCAGAGUAAAUGAAUCAAACCAUUUUUACCUUGACA